AGCUCAGUUGGUAGAGCAAUAAAAAAGACUCUUACAGUUUUUUACCUGUUUUGAAACAUUGAAUGGUGUCGUAGAAUAGAGAUACUUCGAUUUGGGUUCGGGUGGUCGCAGGUUCGAAUCCUGCC
rnacentral:tRNA from 1 species